AAUGAACGCUAGCGGGAUGCCUUACACAUGCAAGUCGAACGGAGCGGCGAACGGGUGAGUAAUGUAUCGGAACGUGCCCAGUAGCGGGGGAUAACUACGCGAAAGCGUAGCUAAUAACGAAUAACAGUGGAGCGGCCGGUAUCGGAUUAGCUAGUGGGUGGGGUAAUGGCUCACAAAGGCGACGAGCCGUAGCUGGUUUGAGGGGACGGCCAGCCACACUGGGACUGAGACGCGGCCCAGACUCCUACGGGAGGCAGCAGUGGGGAAUGUUGGACGAUGGGGGAAACCCUUAUCCAGCCAUCCCGCGUGUACGAUGAAGGCCUGCGGGUUGUAAAGCACUUUUGGCAGGAAAGCGGUACCUGCAGAAUAAGCACCGGCUAACUACGUGCCAGCAGCCGCGGUAAUUC
rnacentral:rRNA from 1 species